rnacentral:rRNA from 1 species
CAGCCGCCACGGUAAUACAGAGGGUGGGAGCGUUAAUCGGAUUUACUGGGCGUAAAGCGUGCGUAGGCGGCUUCUUAAGUCGGAUGUGAAAUCCCUGAGCUUAACUUAGGAAUUGCAUUCGAUACUGGGAAGCUAGAGUAUGGGAGAGGAUGGUAGAAUUCCAGGUGUAGCGGUGAAAUGCGUAGAGAUCUGGAGGAAUACCGAUGGCGAAGGCAGCCAUCUGGCCUAAUACUGACGCUGAGGUACGAAAGCAUGGGGAGCAAACAGGAUUAGAUACCCUGUAGUCCCUGUCUCUUAUACA